rnacentral:rRNA from 1 species
UACGAAGGGGGCUAGCGUUGUUCGGAAUUACUGGGCGUAAAGCGCACGUAGGCGGAUCGAUCAGUCAGGGGUGAAAUCCCAGAGCUCAACUCUGGAACUGCCUUUGAUACUGUCGAUCUAGAGUAUGGAAGAGGUGAGUGGAAUUCCGAGUGUAGAGGUGAAAUUCGUAGAUAUUCGGAGGAACACCAGUGGCGAAGGCGGCUCACUGGUCCAUUACUGACGCUGAGGUGCGAAAAGCGUGGGGAGCAAACAGG